GCACAGGUGGGUGAGCGGUUAAAACCAACAGACUGUAAAUCUGUCGGCCUUAAGGUCUACGGAGGUUCGAAUCCUCCCCUGUGCACCA
rnacentral:tRNA from 1 species